CAAAUAUUUGUGUCAGUAGUGAACACCAAGUCAAGAAAACAAUUGUUUUGGUUUGGCAAAUUGCAAACUUGCAACAGUCCAACAGAAAGAAAACUGUCAACAACAGCUAUCUCGGUUUGCGAGUUGAUUCGGUUUGGUUCAAAUCCCGAGUACGACGACGUCAUCAUUUGGGCCAAUACAUUCAAUUACUGAUUCGACGAACGAGCAGAAAGAGCGAUAACGAUCAACACUAGAGCCACUGCGUGUUCUGUGCUGGCAACGUGAUUGUGGACAGCAAUCAAGACCCCACCGCCGGAUUUUUUUUUCACUAUUAGCCCUCUCUCCCAGAAGAGGGAGGGGUGUUAAACCACCAUGGAAUUUUUUUUGCUCUCAAAAACCUCAACAGAUAAAAUUUGGUUUCAUUUAUUUCAUUAUCUCUCGAGAUGUGCAGAAAUUUGUGUUCCUUUUGUGGAAAACCCCUCCCUUCCAGAAGAUGGAGGGGUGUAAAACUAUUAUAGCCAGAUUUGUUACCGUAAACUGGGGUGACUUUGAUCACUUUUUUGAUUGUAUCUCAAAUAUUUUCAAAAUAUACUGAAAACAAUAUUAUUCGAUAUUUUUAAAAUAAGUACUGGUAUGCAUUGAAAAAGAUUUAGUCACUAAUUCAAAAGUUUAGCAACAAUUUUACUGUUUUUAAAUAUGCUCUAAAUAUUUUACACCAAUCAUCAUUCCGGAGUGACUUUGAUCACUUCAUUGUUUUGAUGAAUUUGGUGUUACACUUUGCUACUUUCACUAAAUUUAACAGCCUUAAACGACUCAAACGAGUUUUUAAAUAUGGAAAGCAAUUUGGGGGCCAUUCACAUUCUACGUGAACAGUUAAUAAUGGCGAAUGUACAAGAUUCAUACAAAAUUUUUAGAAUAUAUAUGAACGAUUAUCCACUGAGAGAGAAGGUGGUCUAAAAUCAUCAAAAACUAGUCCACGAGGAAUAUGACUUAUGAAAUUGGCCAAAUUUGCAUGUUACUUCACGUCUUGGGUUUUUGUUAAGAAGAAAUAUGUAAUACGCUGUGGAGAAUAUUGGGACUCAACAUUGCCUUUGAGGAAAAACUUGCAAAAAUAACAAUAAAAUGUAUUGUUAUAAUAUUUGUUCAUCUUAAGAACUUAUCUGGAAACAAAAAAAAAACUUUACGUAUUGCAACUUGUUGUUUUGAAACUGCUUGAACCGAUUGUUUGUAUGCAACAAAAAUCGCCAAAAAUACACUUUAUUUCCAAUUUAUAUUUUAGCAUGAAAAACACUCUUUAAAUAGCAGGAAAUGGAUGAAUAGUAGCAAUGCGAAUAUAUAUCCACGCAAUCAGUGAAGAUUACGACAAGUCCCAAGCACUACGUGCGCUUUUUUACCACAUUUUCAAAAAAGAGAUGCAGUGAUCAAAGUCACCCCGGUGAUCAAAGUCACCCCAGUUUACGGUACCCCUAAAAACAUUCACUUGCCAAAUUUGGUUUCAUUUAAUUGGUUAGUUCUUGAGAUGUGCAGAAAUUUGUGUUUUAUUUACAUGGGACCCCUCCCUUCCAUGACAGGGAGGUGUCUCGAACUUUCUUAGUAACCUUUCUCGGCCCCUAAAACCCCUAUAUACAAAAUUUCCCGCCGAUCGGUGCAGUUGUUUCAGAGCCUAUAUGGAUCAGACAGACUGGACUGCAUUUUUAUAUGUUUAGAUGAUA